rnacentral:rRNA from 1 species
GAUGAACGCUGGCGGCGUGCCUAAUACAUGCAAGUCGAGCGAACAGACGAGGAGCUUGCUCCUUUGACGUUAGCGGCGGACGGGUGAGUAACACGUGGGUAACCUACCUAUAAGACUGGGAUAACUUCGGGAAACCGGAGCUAAUACCGGAUAAUAUUUCGAACCGCAUGGUUCGAUAGUGAAAGAUGGCUUUGCUAUCACUUAUAGAUGGACCUGCGCCGUAUUAGCUAGUUGGUAAGGUAACGGUUUACCAAGGCAACGAUACGUAGCCGACCGGGGAGGGUGAUCGGCCACACUGGAACUGAGACACGGUCCAGACUCCUACGGGAGGCAGCAGAAGGGAAUCUUCCGCAAAGGGCGAAAGCCUGACGGAGCAACGCCGCGUGAGUGAUGAAGGUCUUCGGAUCGUAAAACUCUGUUAUUAGGGAAGAACAAACGUGUAAGUAACUGUGCACGUCUUGACGGUACCUAAUCAGAAAGCCACGGCUAACUACGUG